rnacentral:rRNA from 1 species
AACGGAGGCGCCCAAAGGUUCCCUCAGAAUGGUUGGAAAUCAUUCGCAGAGUGUAAAGGCACAAGGGAGCUUGACUGCGAGACAGACAGGUCGAGCAGGGACGAAAGUCGGGCUUAGUGAUCCGGUGGUACCGUAUGGAAGGGCCAUCGCUCAACGGAUAAAAGCUACCCUGGGGAUAACAGGCUUAUCUCCCCCAAGAGUCCACAUCGACGGGGAGGUUUGGCACCUCGAUGUCGGCUCAUCGCAUCCUGGGGCUGUAGUCGGUCCCAAGGGUUGGGCUGUUCGCCCAUUAAAGCGGUACGCGAGCUGGGUUCAGAACGUCGUGAGACAGUUCGGUCCCUAUCCGUCGCGGGCGUAGGAAAUUUGAGAGGACCUGUCCUUAGUACGAGAGGACCGGGAUGGACAUACCUCUGGUGUACCAGUUGUGCCGCCAGGCGCAUCGCUGGGUAGCUACGUAUGGAUGUGAUAAACGCUGAAAGCAUCUAAGUGUGAAACACACCUCGAGAUGAGAUUUCCCAUUCCUUUAUGGAAGUAAGACCCCUGAAAGAUGAUCAGGUAGAUAGGUUAGAAGUGGCAGUGCGGUGACGCAUGAAGCGGACUAAUACUAAUCGGUCGAGGACUUAACCAAG